CCUGCUGGCAGCAGGUGGCAAAGCAAGAGCUGCUUUGCAGCUGGGUGGGAUAGGGAGGGUCCGGGUAGCCUCAGGGGCAGGAGCUCCCGUGGUCACAGGCAUUAUUUAGCACUGCAGUUUUGCUCGUCGCCAUCGUUUCUCUCCCACUGCUGUCUGGCUGUCACCUGGCGUGGGCUCCGCUCUGGUUUCAACAGACGCUGCUUUUAUGGAGAAGGCAGGGUCCCAGGGCCAGGCCAACUUAGCCUGAUCAAAUUGCUCCUGCCCAUCUCAAAUAAGCCACUUCUCCAAGAUGACAGCUAAGCCCUGUGCCUCACAGUGGCCUCCUGAUUCCAUAACGUGAGGUCAGCAAUGCUACACAGAGGUUCCUGAGCCAGCCCGGCCUGGGUCUUACCUGCCUUAGAGGCUGCAGCCCUGGAGGAGGCAAGGAGGUCCCGGAACUGUCAACACUGCAGGUGUCAAGGAGGAAUCGGGACCUGCUGGAGAAGGGCCCCCAUGCCUUCCCCAGACUCCCAACAUGAUACGACAUGGGCUUGUCAGCAGGGGCCAGCUGAAGGCAGUGGAGACAGUGGCCCUGCUCUGCAGUCUGGUCCCGGGAAGAGACCAGAAUGUGGGCAGCCACUGCCUCUUACCUGGAAACAGCUCUCCCCUUUCCCAGCCUGCUCCUCACAGUCUCUUCUCCACGCAGCAGAGUGACCCCUUUCAAACAGUGUCUUCACGCCUGUAACUCCUGCGACUCCGGGGGCUGAGGCAGAAGGAUCUCUUGAGGCAAGAAAUUCGAGACCAGCUUGGACAACAUGGUAGGCCCAGUCUCAGCAAAAAAUUAAAAUAAAUUCGCUGGUUAUGGUGGCAUGCAGCUGUAGUCCUAUC